rnacentral:pre_miRNA from 1 species
GAAAACGCAACAGUACAAAUGUGAUGGAAAUCGCUAUUUCAAAUGCUCCCUUGAGAUUAUGCAGUGGCCGUUCAUGAUGUAAGGCAUAAUAGAAA